AAAUACUUUUAGUUCACAUUUUUUAAUGUUUAAAAACUAUGUUAACAGAGCAGUUAUAGAACAGAACUUCUUAUAUUUCUUUAUUUACACCACACUCUGAAAAAAAAAACCCAGUUCUAUUUGAUUAACUAUGAAUAGCAAAGUUUUGUGACUUGUGACUCACUUAAAUCACCCAUCUGAAAUUCAUUUACAAGGUUUUUACAUUAAUAAAACAGUAGUGUGGUACAUGUAUUGGACUCAGAUGAAGUCUAAAGUACACUGGACUCUAGAGAGUGGAUUACAUACCAACGACCAAGAUUCAAGUGUUUGGGGAAAAAAAUACCUUAGACAGUCUAUGUUGGCGUCAACACUAAAAUAAAAGGGGAAUGCAGUUCUGGGUUUCCUUGCUAUCCCUAUUCUUUUUCAGCUACAAACUCUCUUCUUUUUCAGUCUCUUCAGUUUCCUUGUGCUCCCUUUAGGAGAGGGACAAGGGUAAGAGUACCAGGCAACUCUGUCCUCCUGCAUGGACAGUUGAGACGGGCAGUAAUGGCACAGUCCUUGGUUGGGGAAGAGAAGAGGAGACAGCACAGACACUGAGACCCCCUUGUCUUCCUCAUCUGGGGGAAGGAAGGUACUCAGUGAUUCUGUCAGAAGCUCUUCACAAAGACUAUCUCUGAGGGUUUUUUUUUUUUUUUUUUCACAAGACUAGAUGGAGAAUUAAUGAAGAAGAAAUAGAAAUGAGGCUUAUUUAAGGUACAAAAUUCUUGUAUUUGUAAUAACCUAGAUUUAUAGAUAUAAAACAAGUCUUUUAAAGACUUCCCUAAAAUACUCAAUAUAAAACAGGAGUUACUUAUCCU
rnacentral:lncRNA from 10 species